GCGAACGAAAGCAGUGACGGAGGAGCUUGUACCACCGGUAACUAAAUGACCAUGGAAUCUGGAGCAGAAAACCAGCAGAGUGGAGAUGCAGCUGUAACAGAAGCUGAAAACCAGCAAAUGACAGUUCAAGCCCAGCCACAGAUUGCCACAUUAGCCCAGGUAUCUAUGCCAGCAGCUCAUGCAACAUCAUCUGCUCCCACCGUAACUUUAGUACAGCUGCCCAAUGGGCAGACAGUUCAAGUCCAUGGAGUUAUUCAGGCGGCCCAGCCAUCAGUUAUUCAGUCUCCACAAGUCCAGACAGUUCAGUCUUCCUGUAAGGACUUAAAAAGACUUUUCUCCGGAACGCAGAUUUCAACUAUUGCAGAAAGUGAAGAUUCACAGGAGUCAGUGGACAGUGUAACUGAUUCCCAAAAACGACGAGAAAUUCUUUCAAGGAGGCCUUCCUACAGGAAAAUUUUGAAUGACUUAUCUUCUGAUGCACCAGGAGUGCCAAGGAUUGAAGAGGAGAAGUCUGAAGAGGAGACUUCAGCACCUGCCAUCACCACUGUAACGGUGCCAACCCCAAUUUACCAAACUAGCAGCGGACAGUAUAUUGCUAUUACCCAGGGAGGAGCAAUACAACUGGCUAACAAUGGUACCGAUGGGGUACAAGGCCUGCAAACAUUAACCAUGACCAAUGCAGCCGCCACUCAACCGGGUACUACCAUCCUACAAUAUGCACAGACCACUGAUGGACAGCAGAUCUUAGUGCCCAGCAACCAAGUUGUUGUUCAAGCUGCCUCUGGAGAUGUACAAACAUAUCAGAUUCGCACAGCACCCACUAGCACCAUUGCCCCUGGAGUUGUUAUGGCAUCCUCCCCAGCACUUCCUACACAGCCUGCUGAAGAAGCAGCACGAAAGAGAGAAGUUCGCCUCAUGAAGAACAGGGAAGCAGCAAGAGAGUGUCGUAGGAAGAAGAAAGAAUAUGUGAAAUGUUUAGAAAACAGAGUGGCAGUGCUUGAAAACCAAAACAAGACACUGAUUGAGGAGCUAAAAGCACUUAAAGACCUUUACUGCCACAAAUCAGAUUAAUUUGGGAUUUCAUUUUCACCCAUUAUGGUGAAAAAAGGACUGGCUUGGCCACAAACAAAGACAAAAUAAACAUUUUAUUUUCUAAACAUUUCUUUUUUUCUAUGCGCAAAACUGCCUGAAAGCAACUACAGAAUAUCAUUCAUUUGUGCUUUUGCAUUCAACUGUGAAUGUUCCAACACCUGCCUCCACUUCUCCCCUCAAGAAAUUUUCAGCGCAAGGAAUCAUGAAGAGACUUCUGCUUUUCAUCCCCCACCCUCUUCAAGAAGAAAUAAUUUGUUUACCUGUAAAUUGAUGGGAGAAAUGAGGAAGAGAAAAAUUUUUUUUUAACGAUUUCAAGGUUUGUGCUGAGCUCCUUGAUUGCCUUAGGGACAGAAUUACCCCAGCCUCUUGAGCUGAAGUAAUGUGUGGGCCGCAUGCAUAAAGAUGAACAAAGUUUAUGAAGGAGCUUCAUUCUAAGAAUUGAGUGAUGUAGUCUUAUAUUUGGACAAUUCACCAGAGUCUCAAGAAGGCUUUCAAACAACUGUAAAGUUUGAUGUAUAUCCUGCUGAGCUAAUGGGGAAAGUUACAGCAUAAAAUUUAAUUGUUUACCAGCAUAGCUAAGUCAUUUUCCAAAACUGGCUAAACAGAAACCAAGCAAAAUCACAAAUCUUUUCACAAACUAGAACUUUUCUUAAUGAGUCAAAAUUGAACAUUUUGAAUGUCAUAAGUUUUUAUAAAUGAAAAUUGUCUGGUAUUUAGCAAAUUGUAUGCUCAAAAGUUAAGUGUUUUUCAAAAAUUGAGAUUUUUAAUUAUAAAGUUGGUCGUCGUCUUAGUCCCUGAUAAAUCAAGGCAAUCAUAUCCAUAAUAGCUCGUUGGAUUUAUAAGUUAUAAAUAACUUACAUGUAAGUUACAAAAGAUCCUUGUACCUAGAGGAUGAUUGCACUGGUUUGAAGUCAGUUACUUAAUGCUUAAAGGUGAGGUAAGAAAUUUGUUUUAGACAAGUUGGAGAGACUUGAACAUUUCAGUUUAUACAGAUAGAAAUUAAGCAUCUUUUGUGCAGACUUUUUUAAUGAGUUGGUAUAAAAGGUGUUCGUUUUUAAGCAUGCUACUUUGAGAAUCUUUAUUAAGAAAAUGAUAUACUUUAAAAAAAAAAAACCUGUAGCCAAAAACGUGGCCACAAUACCAAUAAUAAUGUUUCUUUAUUGGCCAAAAAGGAAAUGAAAAUGUCAUCAUAGGAAUCUGUACAUAAGCUACUGAUUUGCUUAGAAAAUAGCAAGUUUGGUAUUGCUCACUUUGCAAAUAUAGGCCAUGUGGCACUUUUAUCUAUAGGACAGAUUUAACUAAUAAAAUUAAGUGGGAGGGGUUUAUUUUUGAUAUAAUACUCUUAUGAGUUUUCAAGCUUUGGUAGUGUUUAACUGAAAAGUGGUUUAGAAAGGGCUAGAUCCAAUGUGUUCACGUUAUUAAAAAAAUUGGUGUCAGAUACAAUUUUAAGUUCAUUCUUAUUCAAACUCAAGUACCAUAUUGGCAACCAUAAUUUGUCAAAGGUGCUCUGUUCAUUUAGAUAUUCUUAGGGGGGGAAAUGGCAUUUGUAUAAUAUAUGUGUAAAUAUAUAUAUAUACAUACAGUAUAUAAUCUGAGGCUCUGAGAGCUUUUAAGUCAGGAAUGCUGAGUAUUAGAGUAUAUUGAGGUCAGAUGAAAUUUUACAUUUUUGCGUGUUCUAUUGCAUCCCUUUUGGUAGUUCCUUGGACUGCAUUACUCCAGCACUCAUGAUCUAUUUUUCUUCCAAGUAUUUUAUUUUUUACUGUUAGUUUUCUUUGGCUUGAUACUUUUAAAAUGUUACUAGUCACUUGAAAACUCCCCCUCUCCCCAAAGUAUUUGGUUCUUUGCUUUGUCUCUGGCAGCUAUAACAGUGGUAAGAACAUUUUGAAGAUAGCUUCUAAAAGGUACCACUGAUUUUUUCAGAAAUCAUCCUGGGGGAGGAAUUUUAGUGUUGUCAUUUAAGCAGGGAUUUUUGUCAGAAAAUGUGUUUGAGUGGUAGGUCAGCAGCAGUGCUAGUAUCUGAAAGCACAAUACCAGUCAGGCAGGCUGUUCCAUCAGAAGUCAUCUGGCUGAAGUUUCUCUCUCUCAGGCCAAAUCCUUAUCAUUCUAACCAUUUGGAGUGGCAUGUGGAAUCAUACAAAGGCUUAGGAAGAAACAAGUUUGUCUAAACCAGGAUACUUUUGUUUACUUGAAUGACUUCAAUCUAGAUUUCUUUCCAUUUUUAAUGUUUUUAAUUCUGUGAUCAGCUACAGAGCAAGCAAUUAGCAUAAAACAGUCUCUUUAUUUUGAAGAUCAAAAGUCUGAUGCAUUUUACAGGACUAAAUAAAGCUACUAUCUUAAAAUUUUGAAUUAAAGUGGAUUUCAAGAACAGUGGUUACACACAGUUUCAGUUAUUUUCAAGAGGCUUGAUUUUGUUGCCUUUGUAGUCCUGAAAUCAUAGGUAUAUUGUUACCCAUUGAUCUAAUACAAAAGUUGUAUAUUUAUUUGGGUUAUAUUUACAUUAUAUUCUUUGUAAAUGUCUGGUGUAACUUGCACUUUUAAAAAUGACCCAGUGUGGGUGUUAGCAACUUGAAAAUUCCCUCAUCAAUUGCAAAUUGACUUUCGUAUCUCCUCUGUUCAAAUCAUGUGAUACUAUUUCAGCACCUAAAGGCUAGGCUUAAAAAUAUCUGUAAAAGAAACACAUCAGGCAACUAGACCUGACUAGCCUAAUUAAAAAGGUGGGUUUGAACCCUAUCUUACUUUUUCAUCAUGGGUAAAAGAUAAAAACAGAAGGAAAAGCAAUUCAAGUGAAUGAAUAACUAUCCUUACCCCAAUGUUAAUUCUGUCUAUAGGAUGUAAGAUAUUCAUGAAUUUGUCAAGAACAGUAAAAGAUUUUUUAAAGCAUUUAAUUAUUGUCAUCAUGGAAACCACAUGCAAUCAUUUCACUAAAUUUUUUUCCACUUUAAAUUGGCUUUAACCUCAAAAAAAAUGCUGCCUAAAUUUGACUGGUUUCAGAUGAGGGGGGAAAGUGAGCUGUGCUUAGAAGUGAAGAGUUGUGAGAUAAAUUUGUUCACUCAGUUGUACAAAGCACAACUAAAACAUGUUGGAUGGCUUACAUGCAUCUUGAAUACUUUUAAUGUUGAUACGUUGACUUUUUUUAAGUUAACUGAACAGUCACUGUAUGUACUAGGAACUGGUUUCCUUGACUUUCUAGAAUCAAUGGCCAGAAGAGGCACUAAUCCCUCGGGGGAUGAACAUAUCAUGAAGCUGAGUCAGUAUGGAAGAAUUUCAAAUAAAUCAAACAGGGUGCUGAAGUUCCAUCUGUCUCAUCUGCUUAUGAUAAGUUCUUAUUGAUUAGUGAAUGUAGCUUAAGCCUUUGUAUGUGUCCUCAGGGGGCAGACAAACUUUAAAGAGGGACCAGAUAAUGUUUGGAGGGAUUAUAUUUCAGGUGUUUUAGCUUGAAAUUUAUUUUUUAAAAAAAUUAAAAUAGAAAAAAAAAAUUGAACAAAGCCUGUGAAGCAAGUUGAUAUUAUGAACAGGCGGAGUUGUUUAGCACAGAGAAAACAUUGACCUGUCUGCAUUCUGGUACUGUGGGUGCAGGUCCUAGCUGGGUAUGACAUGAUACAUUUCAAAUUUUUCUCACCAGCAAGUAAAAUGAAAAUGAACAAUCUUCAGGCUGUUUCUUUGGAAAGGGUCAAACAGUAGAAAUUGCAAAUUGUACUAUUUCAUAAAGGCAUUAUUUAAUACUUGCCUACAGAAUUCUGUACGGUAUUUCCAAACUUCUGUCUGAAGAACAUCUCAGAGAUGUCAGAAUAAAUCUGAGAUAGUUUAAACAUUGGUAGGGAAGAAAGAAAAUCCCUGCAGAUAAUGAUCUUUAGUUGGCCAAGUAAAAUGAUCUACCAUUAUGUUUGGGAAGUUUAUUUUCUUAUGUUUUUAAAUUGAACUGGUAAGUGCUUUAUAGACAUUUUUAUCCAGGUGCCACUCCAGUGUGUGUGUAUGUAAUAAAAUUAUUUAUAUUAAAAGCAGAAAAUAAUUUUGUCAACAUUAUUCUGUGGGUCUAAAUUUAUUAGGGGUGGCAGAGAAGAGUGCUAGUUAGCAGUUUUCCAUGUGAAGUUGUCCCCAACUGAGUUGUCCACUUGUCAGUUGUCAUCCCCGUCCAAAAAAGGAAUUAUUUCUAAACCUAGAAGUAUCAUUUGAAACUUUUUAGAAAUAAAAUAAUCAGGGAAGUUUCUAGAGAGCAAGGUGUUUGGUUUUCUUUGCUUUUUUUUUUUUUUUUUCUUGAGGAUUUGGGGUUAAGAUACCUCCCCCAAAACUAUCAGCACAAAACAGGGUAUUGAUUUUUAACUCUGAUGUUGCUAUUAGAGUUGAAUACUAAAUAGAUAACUAUAAUGAGGGAAAUACAUUUCUAACAAAAUUCCCUACAUUCUAGAAACAUCCCUGUUUUAAUUUUUUUACCUAAAUCUUUGUGCUUUAUCUGUGUAAAGAGAAAAAAAUGUACUGAGUUAUAAUGCAUUUUAUUAACACUAUGUACAUAUUAGAUGCUUUGUGUUCAGAAUGGUAGCAGUUGCUUUGUAUAUUAAAGUGAUCCUUGUGAAUUUGUGAAAUAUUGUCAUAAAGUGCUUUUUCUUACUGUAAUCUUUGUGGUAUCAACUGUCAUAAUGCCCUUUUUACACAAACAUUUAUGUGCAGUCACAUAAACAUGCUUUUAAAACCUCUGUAAGUCUCUUUUUUGGGGAUGGAAUGUUUAUUUUGCUUCUGCCAAUAGUGUUAAGCUGCAUUGUGGAAUUAGGGUUAUUUUGUUACAUGAACAUUCAUCACAUUAGGAUAUGUCACAAGCUUGUGUUGCACAGCAACAAAAACACUCAGGCAAUAAGAUCAUAUCUGCAAUUUUACUGUAUUUUGAAUUUUUAGCACUUUUUCAGUAAGACUGAACAAUGCCUAUUUGAAGAUUUGCCCUACUGAGACAGCUAAUGGGAGGCACAUGACUGUCUAAUGUCAUAAAAUGUAUGUGUGCUUUAGAAGAACAAUAAGAAUACCUUCUCAAGUACCCAGGUAAUUCAAAAGUUCUGUGAUAUAAAAUGGAAAAGGAGUGGGUGUGGCUAAGCUGCUCUUUGCUCAAAGCAUAAAAAUCAAUCAUACUACUGAUUCAACUUUUGAAAAUAAGUAGUUGGAUUUAUUCAAAUUCCUUUUUUUUUAAUUGUCAUGUGUUUAUUAACAUCUGCCAGUGUACUGAAGGAAACAUGAAUUUCCUGUAUGCUUUUAGUGACAAUCUGUGUACAUACGUGCAAUGUAUGCAAAUGUAUACUCGUCCCCCUUUUUAUAUAAAUGGUUUUUUCACUGAAUGUGUCUUAGCAAUAGUUCUGUUUCAGUAUAUAUCUACAAAUCUUUCUAACAAGUAUGUAGUAUCCCAUCGAAUAGGUAGUUUAACCAGAACCCUCUUGGGGCUGUUUAGGUGGUUCGUAACGUUUGACUGUUACAGACAUACACAAGUAUAGAUAAUAUUGAUACUAUAAGCUAAUAUAGCUUCAGCAUAGAUACUGAGAAGUGGAAACCAUUUAAGUAUUGCUUCAUGUUUGGAAAUUGUUUUCUAAGAAUUAAAGAACCUGUUAACUAAAAUCAUGUUCGUUAGUAUAUUUUUAUGUUAAGCUUCACAAUCUUUUAGAAGAAAAGUUGAAAGAAGCAGAACCAGCCAUAUACAAGGUUAUGAUAGGUGGGCCUUCUUUUUCUUAUUAAAGAAACGGUGGUUCUUGGUAAGAAAAAAAACAAUAUGCCAUUGUUUGUAGUGUUAUUAAAUUUUGAUCAUUCCCUAACUAGGGGGAAAAGCACAACAUGACUUUUAGAGCAGAAACAAAAUUGUAUAUUACAAACCCUCAAUCUGUAAAGCAGAAAAUAACCCAAAAACAUAAGGAACUGCUCUGACUUCAUGUCUGUGCUAAAAGAAAUCAAGUCUCCAGCAUCCCAGAGAAGGGCUCUAUAUCCACUGUGGUAUCUCCCCUCACUCUUGUUAGAGGACUUUGAAAAUGCUACCUACUUGUGUCUUUGUGGAGGUUCUGGGGAACAGCAAAAUAAUGAUUAAUUCUCUUAACACUGAAAUCGGUCAUCUGUUUCACCAACUAUUAAGUCAGACCCUAUCUAGGACCUUAAAACAAUACUGGGUACAUUAUAAAGUGAUUUUUUUAAAGUACUUAAAUUUUCAUGUUUGUUUUCUUAAAUAUUGCAUCAUUUUGUUAUUGAGAGUAUGCUUUUAUUUUUUUCUAUCCCUGCCUGAGAAUUUAUCCUUUACACCUUGAGCAAAGAGAAUAAAGCGAAGUUAGGUAGUUCAAUACAAGAUCUAUGGUAAAAGAAUCUACAUGAGUUAAAUGCUACUGAACUUUUAUGAACAAGGUUCUUUAGUAACAACUGAAGAAUAUAAUCGAGGUAUAGUCCUUGUCUUCUAGGAGCAUACAUUAUGUGUGGUAAGAUAACACAUUGCAGACAAUGUUGGUUUUUCCUAUCAUUCAAUUGCAGUAAAGGAUUUUGAUUAGAAUUCUGAUUCUUUUAUAUGAAAGAAUAAAUGUCCUACUAGAAACUAUUUGAAGAUGGCACCAUGGUUUUGGAUAAGUCUAUCAUAAACUAAAAGCAAGAUACCAUUAAGAGGGAACCUUGGCAGCAGUAUUUGGUUUUAACUGGAGAAAAAAUUACCAAAACCCACUGUAUAACUUAACAGUGUGACAGUGAAUAAAUGACCUGUGUGAGAAUCGAGGCUUAUUAGUAAAAUAGGUUUAGACUAUGCUUCUAUCCUUGAGGAUAAAACAAGCAUACUUAAAAUACAAGUUUAUGGGAUACAUUAAUCCUUUCAUGCUAUCCAGGUAGAUUCCCUCUCCACAACCCCCCACCUUACCUCCCCCACCCCACCCCAAAAACACAUACACACACCUCCAAAGCCCUCAUUUCUCCAAUACUGCCAGUGUUGGUGGGUGGUGGCUGUAAACAGAGUCCCUCUGUUUAGUUCAAGGUCAUGUCCCUACAUUCACUGACUGAUCAUCACAUGGGUACAAAGGCCUAUCCCCUUGCCUGAAUAUGACUGACUGCAGGGCCAUCCCAGCAUUGAAGGAUUUGAUGAGGACUUCUUUGACUCAUUCCAGGCCAACCUCACCCUGUUCCUCAACCCCGCUUAUUUUAAUCCCUCAGAGAUGGUGGUCAAAAAAGCAUGCGCAUUUUAACUUUCUGCACCCUAACCUCCAUUUUGAGUUUAUUUCCCCAGGAUGCCUGACCAGUAACAUUUUAAACUUAAGAAAAUCAUUUCAUUUUCAUUUAAACAACCCAAACUACUGUUGAAUUUUUCUUGCCUUCUAUUUUUGGUCGAGAAAAAUUUCCUUUAAUCCCUUCUGAUCAAAACAAGGUGGGUGAGAAUUGUAUGGGGACUAUAACCAAGAUGAAAAUGCAUACAUUGUGCAAAAAUGAAAAAUGAUGUAAAAAAUAUAUAAAAUAAAAUCUUAAAAAAUUGUGAAAACAACCCAAUCACUGUUUACUUCAUUCGAUAGGACAUCCAGGCAUCUUGUCGAAGUUCUCCAUUCCCACCCAAAGUUAGGGAUGUUAAUUACAAGAGCCAAACUUCAUUUAUAAUAACGCAUAAAUGAGAUUGACCUUUCAUUACAGUGUUAAUGGUAUUUCAGGACUUUUUUUUCUUGUUUUGAAAGACCUUCCAUGUUGAUGGCACAGGACUAGCAUUUUGUGGAUCUGGCAAGCUGUGGCUAUUUGCAACUCGUGCAUGUCUCUUAAUUAUGUUAUUCUGCUACAUGAUAGAAUGCUCAAAACUUUUAUUUGCCUUUAAGUAAAACAUAUGUAAAAAUGUAAUGGGUAUUG